rnacentral:rRNA from 1 species
GGGGGSGGGGYGCUAAUACAUGCAAGUCGAGCGAACUGAUUAGAAGCUUGCUUCUAUGACGUUAGCGGCGGACGGGUGAGUAACACGUGGGCAACCUGCCUGUAAGACUGGGAUAACUUCGGGAAACCGAAGCUAAUACCGGAUAGGAUCUUCUCCUUCAUGGGAGAUGAUUGAAAGAUGGUUUCGGCUAUCACUUACAGAUGGGCCCGCGGUGCAUUAGCUAGUUGGUGAGGUAACGGCUCACCAAGGCAACGAUGCAUAGCCGACCUGAGAGGGUGAUCGGCCACACUGGGACUGAGACACGGCCCAGACUCCUACGGGAGGCAGCAGUAGGGAAUCUUCCGCAAUGGACGAAAGUCUGACGGAGCAACGCCGCGUGAGUGAUGAAGGCUUUCGGGUCGUAAAACUCUGUUGUUAGGGAAGAACAAGUACGAGAGUAACUGCUCGUACCUUGACGGUACCUAACCAGAAAGCCACGGCUAACUACGUGCCAGCAGCCGCGGUAAUACGUAGGUGGCAAGCGUUAUCCGGAAUUAUUGGGCGUAAAGCGCGCGCAGGCGGUUUCUUAAGUCUGAUGUGAAAGCCCACGGCUCAACCGUGGAGGGUCAUUGGAAACUGGGGAACUUGAGUGCAGAAGAGAAAGCGGAAUUCCACGUGUAGCGGUGAAAUGCGUAGAGAUGUGGAGGAACACCAGUGGCGAAGGCGGCUUUUGGUCUGUAACUGACGCUUAAGCSAGCGUGGGGARCCAC